GCCUAUGGUCCUACCAACUUGAAUAUGCCUGUCUCAGAAGCUAAACAGGGUCAGGCCUGGUUAGUACUUGGAUGGGCCACACUGUGAUUCCUGGGUGAAGGGCA
rnacentral:rRNA from 1 species